UUAAUAUUUAUACAUAUUUUAAGGCUUUAUAAACGCUUCCCACACUUAUAAACAUUUCCCACACUUUUGAAAACACUUCUAAUGGCAGGCUGGGGAGAUGGCUCAG